UAAAAUAGGAAGGAAGGAAAAGAACAUUUGUCGAAUAUCUUCUGUACAGAAGGCGUUCACCACAUUAUCUCAUUUAAUCCUUGCUAUGGCGCGCUGAGCAACUGGAAAGAAAAAGAAACCUGAAGAAGCCCAUUAACUAGAGAGAUACCUUUUCUCUCACUCCACUUCCCUCAGACGUGUCCAUCUCACCAGUCUGCUGAGACCCCGUAUAGGAGGCAGGAUUGAAAAGAGCUUCCGAAUGGAGAAGAAGUCUUUGGAUCCACACGCUGAACCUAGAUGAGGAAUUCGAUGCUGCUGUUCUUAUUGAGCUGAUAGAACUGGAAUCACAUAUACUGUGGUAAGCUCAUUUAUGGAUAUUUGAAUGACUUUAUGGACCAUGCUUGGGUUAAUGAUAGGGCAGAAAUUCCAUUAAAGCAGAAUACUAUUAGUUAAUCCAUUGGUGACAUGCAUUAGUGAUACUUGAAAAGUUAUACAGUAGUGGGGACUUUUAUCGUUUUAGCUCAUCCCCCUAUUAAGAUUUGUAGGUGUUUUAUAUGAACUUAAGAUUCUCCCAUUCACCCUCAGUGACUCAAAUCCUUU
rnacentral:lncRNA from 1 species